rnacentral:rRNA from 1 species
GAUGAACGCUGGCGGCGUGCCUAAUACAUGCAAGUCGAGCGAACGGACGAGAAGCUUGCUUUUCUGAUGUUAGCGGCGGACGGGUGAGUAACACGUGGAUAACCUACCUAUAAGACUGGGAUAACUUCGGGAAACCGGAGCUAAUACCGGAUAAUAUUUUGAACCGCAUGGUUCAAAAGUGAAAGACGGUCUUGCCGUCACUUAUAGAUGGAUCCGCGCUGCAUUAGCUAGUUGGUAAGGUAACGGCUUACCAAGGCAACGAUGCAUAGCCGACCUGAGAGGGUGAUCGGCCACACUGGAACUGAGACACGGUCCAGACUCCUACGGGAGGCAGCAGUAGGGAAUCUUCCGCAAUGGGCGAAAGCCUGACGGAGCAACGCCGCGUGAGUGAUGAAGGUCUUCGGAUCGUAAAACUCUGUUAUUAGGGAAGAACAUAUGUGUAAGUAACUGUGCACAUCUUGACGGUACCUAAUCAGAAAGCCACGGCUAACUACGUGCCAGCAGCCGCGGUAAUACGUAGGUGGCAAGCGUUAUCCGGAAUUAUUGGGCGUAAAGCGCGCGUAGGCGGUUUUUUAGUCUGAUGUGAAAGCCCACGGCUCAACCGUGGAGGGUCAUUGGAAACUGGAAAACUUGAGUGCAGAAGAGGAAAGUGGAAUUCCAUGUGUAGCGGUGAAAUGCGCAGAGAUGUGGAGGAACACCAGUGGCGAAGGCGACUUUCUGGUCUGUAACUGACGCUGAUGUGCGAAAGCGUGGGGAUCAAACAGGAUUAGAUACCCUGGUAGUCCACGCCGUAAACGAUGAGUGCUAAGUGUUAGGGGGUUUCCGCCCCUUAGUGCUGCAGCUAACGCAUUAAGCACUCCGCCUGGGGAGUACGACCGCAAGGUUGAAACUCAAAGGAAUUGACGGGGGCCCGCACAAGCGGUGGAGCAUGUGGUUUAAUUCGAAGCAACGCGAAGAACCUUACCAAAUCUUGACAUCCUUUGACAACUCUAGAGAUAGAGCCUUCCCCUUCGGGGGACAAAGUGACAGGUGGUGCAUGGUUGUCGUCAGCUCGUGUCGUGAGAUGUUGGGUUAAGUCCCGCAACGAGCGCAACCCUUAAGCUUAGUUGCCAUCAUUAAGUUGGGCACUCUAAGUUGACUGCCGGUGACAAACCGGAGGAAGGUGGGGAUGACGUCAAAUCAUCAUGCCCCUUAUGAUUUGGGCUACACACGUGCUACAAUGGACAAUACAAAGGGCAGCGAAACCGCGAGGUCAAGCAAAUCCCAUAAAGUUGUUCUCAGUUCGGAUUGUAGUCUGCAACUCGACUACAUGAAGCUGGAAUCGCUAGUAAUCGUAGAUCAGCAUGCUACGGUGAAUACGUUCCCGGGUCU